GCAUAUCAAUAAGCGGAGGAAAAGAAACCAACAGGGAUUGCCCUAGUAACGGCGAGUGAAGCGGCAACAGCUCAAAUUUGAAAUCUGGCGCAAGCCCGAGUUGUAAUUUGUAGAGGAUGCUUCAGGGCAGCGGCCGGUCUAAGUUCCUUGGAACAGGACGUCAUAGAGGGUGAGAAUCCCGUAUGCGACCGGUUGGCACCCGUCACGUAGCUCCUUCGACGAGUCGAGUUGUUUGGGAAUGCAGCUCUAAAUGGGAGGUAAAUUCCUUCUAAAGCUAAAUACCGGCCAGAGACCGAUAGCGCACAAGUAGAGUGAUCGAAAGAUGAAAAGCACUUUGGAAAGAGAGUUAAAAAGCACGUGAAAUUGUUGAAAGGGAAGCGCAUGCAACCAGACUCGACGGCGGUGUUCCGCCGGUCUUCUGACCGGUCUACUCGCCGCCGUCGGGCCAGCAUCACUUGGGGGCGCCGGACAAAGGCGCGGGGAAUGUGGCUCUUCGGAGUGUUAUAGCCCCGCGCACAAUACGGCGACCCUCGAGUGAGGUCCGCGCUUCGGCUAGGAUGCUGGCGUAAUGGUUGUAUGCGGCCCGUCUUGAAACACGGACCAAGGAGUCUACCAUCUAUGCGAGUGUUCGGGUGUCAAACCCCUACGCGUAAUGAAAGUGAACGGAGGUGGGAACCGCAAGGUGCACCAUCGACCGAUCCUGAUGUCUUCGGAUGGAUUUGAGUAAGAGCAUAGCUGGUGGGACCCGAAAGAUGGUGAACUAUGCCUGAAUAGGGUGAAGCCAGAGGAAACUCUGGUGGAGGCUCGCAGCGGUUCUGACGUGCAAAUCGAUCGUCAAAUUUGGGUAUAGGGGCGAAAGACUAAUCGAACCAUCUAGUAGCUGGUUCCUG
rnacentral:rRNA from 1 species